rnacentral:rRNA from 1 species
GACGAACGCUGGCGGCGUGCUUAACGCAUGCAAGUCGAACGGAAAGGCCCUGCUUUUGUGGGGUGCUCGAGUGGCGAACGGGUGAGUAACACGUGAGUAACCUGCCCCUGACUUUGGGAUAACUUCAGGAAACUGGGGCUAAUACCGGAUAGGAGCUCCUGCUGCAUGGUGGGGGUUGGAAAGAUUCGGCGGUUGGGGAUGGACUCGCGGCUUAUCAGCUUGUUGGUGGGGUAGUGGCUUACCAAGGCUUUGACGGGUAGCCGGCCUGGGAGGGUAACCGGCCACAUUGGGACUGAGAUACGGCCCAGACUCGUAUGUGAGGCAGCAGUGGGGAAUAUUGCAGAAUGGGCGGGAGCCUGAUGCGGCAACGCCGCGUGCGGGAUGACGGCCUUCGGGUUGUAAACCGAUUUCGCCUGUGACGAAGCGUGAGUGACGGUAAUGGGUAAAGAAGCACCGGCUAACUACGUG